AUUGAACGCUGGCGGCAUGCUUUACACAUGCAAGUCGAACGGUAACAGGCCUUCGGGCGCUGACGAGUGGCGAACGGGUGAGUAAUGCAUCGGAACGUGCCCAGUCGUGGGGGAUAACUAUCCGAAAGGAUAGCUAAUACCGCAUACGAUCUGCGGAUGAAAGCGGGGGACCUUCGGGCCUCGCGCGAUUGGAGCGGCCGAUGUCAGAUUAGGUAGUUGGUGGGGUAAAGGCUCACCAAGCCAACGAUCUGUAGCUGGUCUGAGAGGACGACCAGCCACACUGGGACUGAGACACGGCCCAGACUCCUACGGGAGGCAGCAGUGGGGAAUUUUGGACAAUGGGCGCAAGCCUGAUCCAGCAAUGCCGCGUGCAGGAAGAAGGCCUUCGGGUUGUAAACUGCUUUUGUACGGAACGAAACGGCUCUGGUUAAUACCCGGGGCUAAUGACGGUACCGUAAGAAUAAGCACCGGCUAACUACGUGCCAGCAGCCGCGGUAAAAC
rnacentral:rRNA from 1 species